UUUGCCCCCAACGGUGCCUACCAGGCAGCGCUGCCUGGAAGGCGCCGUUGGGAGGUACAGGUUAGUAAGGUUAGGGUUAGGUGCCUUGAAGG